rnacentral:piRNA from 1 species
GUAAGUAUCAGGCUAAGAGCUCAGGCU